GCUACUAUACGCUGGGAACAAGUGGAUACACGAGUAGGCACUUUGCAAGCGUGUGAUCUAGGCAGAGCCUCUAUAACAUUUAAAUCUAUAUCUAAUACUAAAGAGGUAAAAUUUCAGUCAUAUUUUUUGUUUGGAAAUUUUUUGUCUGUUCUCUCUCCCUCUUAUAUACGGUGGAGACUUGAAUAUGUAAGACAAGAUAAUAAUAGCCUCUGAUAAAAAGAAGGAACGUAGAAAUUUGCCAAAAUCCGAAUAAAAAAGGAGAAAGAUUUUCCAAACCAAAUCGAAAGGAGCUCUAAUUGAAUCGAAAAGAAAGCGCGACGCACGGACACCGCCGCUCCCAGCGCCGAUGGCGAAGAGGUCGUAGUCGUACUCCCCUCGGCGGAGUCGCCGUUAGGCGCCGCCGCGGCGGAUGCCGAGAUGUGGCGACGGCAGGGGCGGCGAGCCUCGGGAGCGCGGCGAGGGAGGGGAGGCGAAGGAAGCUGCGGCGGAUCUGGUGGGUCCCGCGUGGGAAGAGGGUGCCGGUCAAGGUUUGCAGCGUGGAGGAGCAGGAAAAGGAGAGCGUCGCGUGUGCCGCCAUGGUUGGCUCCUCACUGUUGCUGCGGCGGCGCCGCCGCUUGUGAGUGUGGGGGAAGUGAGGGAGCGAGCACCAGAAAGCUAGCGACACUCGGAUGCAGAGACGAUACGCAGCAACGCAAAAGCAGAGGUGAUGGCCUGCGGCAAGAUUGAUGAGCUUCCUUCUCCUUGAGGUUGCCUCACAUCGGAGGUGGCUAAUUCGUGAUGGUUUCUAAUGGCUCGAACGGGAAUCCAUGGGAAGACCGUGGACUGGUUUGAGGGGUGAGUUGAGAGAGGAUAGACAUGCGAGAGAGUACGGGAGGGGAAGGCGCCGCCACAGCCCUGUGUGCCCGUG
rnacentral:lncRNA from 1 species